rnacentral:lncRNA from 1 species
UGUAGCAUGUAUCUCCUAAAUUAGAAAAGAAUAUUUUCUGUUUCAACAUACAAGCCAAACUAUCAUCCUCCCAGCCAUCGACAAGGAACUUUAUCUAGUUACUUAGGUGUUUCUGUGAGGGUCUGGAAGAUGAAGCUCUUGAAUCUCUCUCGCAGUCUGUGAUUGUACUAUUUGUCAGCAACAAAUUGAAUAUAUAUCUUCUAUAUACAUAAGUGUACAAGGUAUGUUCUAGAAAGCGAGAGCAAAUUUUUCUAGUUGGCUACUUUCCAAAAAAUUUAUCAUUAUUACUCAGUCCUUGAAAAAAGAACUUCUAAGUAUUAAGUAAAAACUAUUGCCUGUUCUCAUGAAAGACGGAGAGUAUGAAUAAUGGUUAGUUCGGGUGUGAUAUGAAAGUAUAAGUCCUUGUUGGACUAGAAUUAGAGUGGAAUUAUGGAUGACAUCGGAGUAAUUCCAUCCUAUAUGUCCUUGCUAUUUACCAAGAUUGCAAAACACAAGCCAGACGUGGAGUUUAAUCAAAAAGACAAUCCCACUUUUUUCCUCAUGUGGAAGUUGCUAUAUACAAUUGUGCACAGGGCAGAUGUAUCUCUAACGAUAAGAUCUAAAUAAUUAUUAAUAAUAAAGUAAAUGUCAAAAUAAUAAAAUCAGACAAUAAAUAUACUAAUAAAAAAAUGCUAGAAA